UGCGAGAUAUAAGGUGCCUGGCGUGUAAGUAAGACAGGUCCUUAUGGUCUUCUCCAGGGAACAAGUUAUCCUCAGCUCACUCUGAAUUAUCCUGGACUCACCCUAAAAGAAGAAAAGCAUCAUGUUUGCCUUGCUGGAGACACUCCUCCCUUUUGGGUGCGCCCUGGGCCUGGUCAUCAGCGCAUGGAUUUUCAUGAAUUAUAUCCUCGCACCCAAAGUUCCUUCUACCUGCAGCCAGCCUGGGAAGCUUCGGAUUCUGUGCUACUUCUUUAUCACAGUAGUGAUAUGGAAUUUUAUCGUGAUGAGCGCAGUUGCUUGGAGGGAGAGAGAGAUUCUGUGGUGCAGCAUGUGGGGUAUCACAAGCUUUAUGUCUACUGUUUUCCUUUUAGCACCACAGAUGACCGACUAACUUGAUCCACUUCCUAAAGGCUCCAAGAUUCUACGUAAUGAAGCCUUUCCAGGUUGCGGCCUGUGGGAAAAACAGAGAAGGUGCUGUGACCUUCCCAGGCCUUGAAGGUAGAACAGAUCUUCCUCAGAUCCAGCCUUGAGUCCUGCUUUAUCAAGUCACCCAGAGCAUCAAUUUCCAGUUGCCCAGGGCAUCAAUCUCCAGUUAGCUUUUCAACAGAAUCAAAACGUCCUGUUUUUUCACCUAAAAUUUCACAAUGAUGUGUGUAUCAAUAUAUGACCAUUGCCAGAUGUGGUAAUCCAGCACUCUGGGAGGCUGAGGCAAGAGGACUGAGAAUUUGGACCUAGGCUAGGCAACUUAGUGACUUAAGUAGAUCCUGUCUAAAAAUAAAAAAUGAAAAAGCUGGAGAGUAUUUCAAAGCAAAAGCUGUAGAUUCAAUCCCCUGUACUAUAUAUCUAUAACUGUAUAACUAUGUGCCUGUAUAUCAGUAAAUUAACUCAUCUGUAAGUUUAUAGUCAUUGACUUGGUGAAUGUCACAGUGAGAGGUGUCUUUAUAUCCCCAGAAGCCUAGUACAGGAAAAGCCUGAUGGUGUUCUGAAAUUCUGAUGAUAUUCCCAAUGGGUUCAAGAACAAAGAGCAAAGAUGUGGAUUUAAUAAGUCUAUCUAGAAACCAAAUAUAUGUGAUGUGUAGAUCACAGAGCCCUCCUAGCAGAUAACAAGGCUGUCACUCAGCUUGCUGGGGCCUUCCUCAGGAAAGCUGUUUGAAGGACAUCCUCUGCAACAGUGCCUUGCUCUCCAAGAAGCAUGUCAGAGAUCAGAUCUUGUAAGUUGGUUUCAGGCGGAGAAUGGCUUUCCCAUGCUCCCAGAACAUCAUGAAUCCUAUGGCCAGUCAUAUAAAGGCUGUAUGAACCUGUGGUUCCUGCAUUCAAGGCACCAGUCCUACCCCAGGUCAAACUAGCUUAACUGGGAAAUACCUGCAUCCAAGAUAUUCCAGUUGGUAGUCAGAACACAGAGCUUUCUCUCUGGUUCUCUCCUAUUUCUGUGGUUCUGGGGAACAGUCACUAAUGCCCUUUAGCUAGACAAUCUUUUCAAAGAGACUAAACCUUUUAGAAGAUAGAGUUAGUAAUUCCUCUCAGGGAAAGGGUCAGUUUACUUACUUCUCAGUAUGAUGAACAUAAUGGGAAAGCAGGUUCAUUUACUUUUAAAAACAUUUGAGUUCUUAAAAGUCUGUUCUUCAGCUGUGAGGUAACUCUUGGAGACACACAUCUUCCAGCUAGGCUUCUCUGUGGUUUUCCCCUGUAAAAUGGGGGCAAGACGUGACCAAUAUUCCUGAUUUGUCAACUUUACUAUAUUAAGAAACACCUGGCUGAUUAGUAAAGCAUACCUCCAAGUGUGUUUGAGCGGGUCCCAGAGGCAUGACCUUGAGUACUAUAAAUGAUCCCUAGCUUGUUCCUCCCUGGUGCUGUCCCACUGCUCUGUUCCCCGGCCACCAUGAACUAAGCACCUUUGCUCCACCACACCCUUAUGCUGUGAUGUUUCUGACAUGAAGCCAGUUGACUAUGAAUGAAUCCCUCCAAAAUAUCAGCUAAAUUAAACAUUUCUUC
ensembl:lincRNA